rnacentral:lncRNA from 1 species
CUAUCUCUCUCUCGACUUUUCAGUGCCAAAUUUUGGCCAGAAAUGGUGAGAAGAAAAAGCAUGAAGAAGCCGCGAAGUGUGGGGGAGAAAAAGGUGGAAG